rnacentral:lncRNA from 1 species
AAGUUGCAAGUGAAUUUUCCCACGCUGUGCUCUUAAGAGGCCUCUGUCCUCAGUGUGGCUCUGUACAGAGUUGACAUCUGAAUCCCAAUUGGUCCAGCUCCGAAGACUGACUUGACUUCCAGGGCCUGCACAGGGAGCACUGAGAUUUUGUCCCCUCCUGGACUUUAUACACAAGUGUGCAGGUCAGAGGACAACUUGAGUCGGGUCUCUCCUUCCACCAUGUCGGCUCCAAGGAUAAAAAACCCAGGCUGUCAGGCUUUAUGGUACACAUGGGCACACAUAUCCCAAAGUGUGCCUGUGGAAGGCAGAGGAUAAAUCUGUAGCAUCAGUUCCUUCCUUC